rnacentral:tRNA from 1 species
GGAAAGAAGGGGACUGGUGUCUCAGCUGGCCUUCAAAGUCAGUAGCAGGUAGAUAAAACUGUCUGUGGUAGGUUCGAUUCCUGCUCUUUCUGCCA